AGAAAGAUGAAAGUAAAUUAAAUAUGGCUUUGUUCACUAAAAUAAAAAAGAAAAGAUAUAAACUCAUUUCAAAGAUUUUCAACCCAAAAUAUUAAGCUGAAGUAUGCUUUGAUGAAAGGCAAAUGCUUACUUACCUAACAGGUUAAUUAUAUUAUAACCAAAUUAUAGCCAGAACUUAUACUCGGGCAUAACUUCAACAGUCUAUUUUUCUUCAUGAGAAGCAAAAAACUUUAAGAUUUUCUAAUAUAAUACCAUACAGAUAAGAAAUGAGGCUAAGAAUGGCAACUUUUAAGAUGCUAAACCAAAGGUUAUGUUUCUUUAGUCUUUUUUGCCAUAGUAAAAUAUUUUAAGUUUUUACAAAAAGUCAAAUAUAAUUUUUUCCUAGACAGCUCAUUAAAAAUUAUAAUAUGCAUCAUUCUUAACUUAAGAAUGGUUUCAAAGUCUUUUAUUUCAGGGUGCAAGGCACUUUUGGAAGUGAAUGAAGCAUUUCAAGCAAGAGAAUGCAUGUACUCUAGGCUUAAUAAUUAUUAAAUCCCCAAGAUUUUUAUUGGCAAGACCAUCUGGGCAAGAGCAAAAGACCCUCAUAUAUUCCCACUUGAUAUAAUUACAAAAACUUUGCCCAACUAGGAAUGACGUACCCUAUACAUAUCAAAAUUUAAAUUAUGUCAGAAAAACAAUACUUAAAAGAGAUGAAAGGUGCCCUUAUCAUUGUAGGACCCUAAAAGUUUUGAUAAACAAUGUUCCAGAAGGACUGAAACAAUUCACAGAACUUCAAAAAUUACUAAAUUUGAGAAUUAACAGUAAAUUAAUUUAUGAAUACUCUAGAAAAACAUGCAUCAUAAUGAAAAAGUGCUAAAUUUUAUAAAGCAAUUCAAAACUGGGAGAGAAAAAAUUGUUCUUAUAGUAGACUACAUAACAUUGUUAUACUUAAUGUUCAAAGUGAAUUUAAACAAUAUACAUUAGCCAAGAAAAACAAAAAAUGUAAUAGUAUCUCAUAUAUCCAAACCUAACCUGGCACAUUAGUAGCUUCUACUCAAACAUUUCAACAUUUGUUAACUCUUUAUUUAUAUAUAAAGUACACUCAAAACCAGUCUCUAUCAAUUACUAAUUUUAAUACAAUUGUACAUUAAUGCUGUAGUGAUCAACCUUUCACAAUGUUUUCAUGUCUAUUUUUCAACUUUUGGCACAAGGCAAAAUUGAAAAGUAUACAUAUUAUUACAAUUAUGAAAGUAGAAAACAAAACUGACACAGAAAAUCUUGCCUUAAAGUACUGCUAAUAAUAAUUAAAACACAGGUCACAGCACAGGAAAAAGUAAUGUUGUGAUAUAAUGGUACUUGUUUCAGAAUCCUGAUAAUUUUCUUGAUUUCUACAGGGUUAUCUUUCCAGAAAAUCUCAAAAAGGGCAUUUUUAAGUUUAUAGUUACCAUUCACAUUACCAGUAAUACAUAAAGAACUUGAGAUGUUUAUUUAUAAUCACAAUAUUAAAAGAUAUAUAGAAAACCACUCUCCCCUGAACUUUUCCAUCCCAAACCUCUUUUCAAUCUCAUUGGAAAAAAAAUCCUCCUCUUUCACUUAUUAGUCAAAGAACAAUAAGAUAACAGUAAAAUCACAUAUAAAUGUGGGAAUUAAAACAGCUAUUUCAUUUGGUACAACCUUUUAUCAACUACUUUGCUUGAAGGUUUAUUUUAAAGGUUAGAAGUGGAUUGGAGCUGGGGGUUGGGAGGAUGGGUGUUGAAAGGAACUUUUGGUCACAAAAGAAACUAAAGAAAGUCUAGGCAACAAAACUUGUUUCUUCUAAAAUUCCAAGAGCAAGUUAUAAACAUAGUAUUUCUAUACAGAAUAGAAUACUAUUCAGAUACAGAAUAGGAUUCUAUGCAAAAUAGGAUGUUUCUGCUUAGUUUCUUUUCAGGGAACAUUUUAAAGAGUGAUCCCAUUUUCCAUUAAACACUGAACUUUUGGAAUGUUUCAAUAGCAAUUUUUUUUAAAGGUACCAUGAAAAGACUAAAUAAGUUAUUCCUAUGAAAUUAUAUUAGUUGACCCAAAGCCAAGAUUGUAAUUAUGUUCAUCAGUUUUCAGUGAGUAAAUACUAAUAUUGUCUGUGGGGUAAUUAUUAUUUUACUUUUCCACUUUCCCCCUCAAAUCACAAGAGUUAAUUAUCACAUUUACUGCACAACUAUUUAAAGAUUAGUUAUUGUGACAAGUAUCCACUCUGAUAGAUAAAAAAAUCAUUUUGUCAUCAAUCAACUUCUUUUCAUUGAUAACUAACAUUCUGGUUUCUCAAAGUGUAUUUAGGUCAAAGAAAAAUUGGCAGAAAGGGCCUUUAUCUAACUUAUGCAGCAAUGUUAACUAAAUUAAAUUUUUUUGAGCAAAAAUUAAAUUUUGUGUGUUUAAACUUUCCUUUAUAACUUCUUUCUGCAGUAAUUUUGCAUUUUGGCCAAAGAGAGCUAUUUCCUUUUGGCAGGCAGAUUACUCUUCUGGAAAGAAACCAGUGAUUCAGAACUGCAGAAUUUGUCUUCUUUUGAGGAGAGUAAUAAAUGGAGCAAUGAUUUUAUUUUUUGGCUUAUUUUUUACCACCCAUGUUGAUCUUUUUCAUAAAAUUCAUGAAAUGAAAUUUUAAAUGUGACCACAGUAUAUAUCAGUUAGAAGAAGAUAUUCUGUUUCUGACCAAUUUCCCAAAAAAACGUUUCUGACCAAAAUGAAUUAAGUAUUGUCUUGUCAAAAAGCUUUCAGUUAAAAAUCAAACUCUGAAGUUGAGAUGGAAUGUUAAAACUUAAUGGCCAAUUGUACACUACUGGGUUAUUGGUCAUGUUUUAGACAAACAAUAUUUUUAUAAGACCUAGAAGAAAAGACUAAUAAGUGACAGCUGUUGCAAGAUGAAGCAAUAAGAUUAUGUAAAUAUCCUUUUUAUAGCAAUAAGAAUGAGGCACAAACUGGUAUUUACUCCAAACAAUAGAAAAUGUCAUCAAAUUUUUGCCUCUAUUAAAGAAAAAAAAAGAGCAAUGUUC
rnacentral:lncRNA from 1 species